AGUGAACGCUGGCGGUAUGCCUAACACAUGCAAGUCGAACGGCAGCACAGUAAGAGCUUGCUCUUACGGGUGGCGAGUGGCGGACGGGUGAGUAAUACAUCGGAAUCUACUUUUUCGUGGGGGAUAACGUAGGGAAACUUACUCUAAUACCGCAUACGACCUACGGGUGAAAGCAGGGGAUCUUCUGACCUUGCGCGAUUGAAUGAGCCGAUGUCGGAUUAGCUAGUUGGCGGGGUAAAGGCCCACCAAGGCGACGAUCCGUAGCUGGUCUGAGAGGAUGAUCAGCCACACUGGAACUGAGACACGGUCCAGACUCCUACGGGAGGCAGCAGUGGGGAAUAUUGGACAAUGGGCGCAAGCCUGAUCCAGCCAUACCGCGUGGGUGAAGAAGGCCUUCGGGUUGUAAAGCCCUUUUGUUGGGAAAGAAAAGCAGCAGGUUAAUACCCCGCUGUUAUGACGGUACCCAAAGAAUAAGCACCGGCUAACUUCGUG
rnacentral:rRNA from 1 species